AGAGUUUGAUCCUGGCUCAGGAUGAACGCUGGCGGCGUGCUUAACACAUGCAAGUCGAACGGGGAACAUUUUAUGGAAACUUCGGUGGAAAUAGCUUGUUCCUAGUGGCGGACGGGUGAGUAACGCGUGGGUAACCUGCCUCACACUGGGGGAUAACAGUCAGAAAUGACUGCUAAUACCGCAUAAGCGCACGGGAUUGCAUGAUCCAGUGUGAAAAACUCCGGUGGUGUGAGAUGGACCCGCGUUGGAUUAGCCAGUUGGCAGGGUAACGGCCUACCAAAGCGACGAUCCAUAGCCGGCCUGAGAGGGUGGACGGCCACAUUGGGACUGAGACACGGCCCAGACUCCUACGGGAGGCAGCAGUGGGGAAUAUUGCACAAUGGGGGAAACCCUGAUGCAGCGACCCCGCGUGAAGGAAAAAGUAUCUCGGUAUGUAAACUUCUAUCAGCAGGGAAGAAAAUGACGGUACCUGACUAAGAAGCCCCGGCUAACUACGUGCCAGCAGCCGCGGUAAUACGUAGGGGGCAAGCGUUAUCCGGAUUUACUGGGUGUAAAGGGAGCGUAGACGGAGCAGCAAGUCUGAUGCGGAAGGCGGGGGCUCAACCCCUGGACUGCAUUGGAAACUGUUGAUCUUGAGUACCGGAGAGGUAAGCGGAAUUCCUAGUGUAGCGGUGAAAUGCGUAGAUAUUAGGAGGAACACCAGUGGCGAAGGCGGCUUACUGGACGGUAACUGACGUUGAGGCUCGAAAGCGUGGGGAGCAAACAGGAAAGGAUACCCUGGUAGUCCACGCCGUAAACGA
rnacentral:rRNA from 1 species